UACGACAAUAUCACGUUGAAACACCGAUUCUCGUACGAUCAGCAAAGUUAAGCAACGUCGAGCUUGGUCAGUACCUAGAUGAUUGACAACUUGCGGAAUGCCAGGUGCUGUAAG
rnacentral:rRNA from 1 species